GAUGAACGCUGGCGGCGUGCCUAAUACAUGCAAGUCGAGCGAAUGGAUUAAGAGCUUGCUCUUAUGAAGUUAGCGGCGGACGGGUGAGUAACACGUGGGUAACCUGCCCAUAAGACUGGGAUAACUCCGGGAAACCGGGGCUAAUACCGGAUAACAUUUUGAACCGCAUGGUUCGAAAUUGAAAGGCGGCUUCGGCUGUCACUUAUGGCUGGACCCGCGUCGCAUUAGCUAGUUGGUGAGGUAACGGCUCACCAAGGCAACGAUGCGUAGCCGACCCGAGAGGGUGAUCGGCCACACUGGGACUGAGACACGGCCCAGACUCCUACGGGAGGCAGCAGUAGGGAAUCUUCCGCAAUGGACGAAAGUCUGACGGAGCAACGCCGCGUGAGUGAUGAAGGCUUUGGGUCGUAAAACUCUGUUGUUAGGGAAGAACAAGUGCUAGUUGAAUAAGCUGGCACCUUGACGGUACCUAACCAGAAAGCCACGGCUAACUACGUGCCAGCCGCCGCAGUAA
rnacentral:rRNA from 1 species